CUACAGGGGGCAGCAGUGAGGAAUAUUGCACAAUGGGGGGAACCCUGAUGCAGCAACGCCGCGUGGAGGAUGACGCAUUUCGGUGUGUAAACUCCUUUUAUAUGUCAAGAAAAUGACGGUAGCAUAUGAAUAAGCACCGGCUAACUCCGUGCCAGCAGCCGCGGUAAUAAGGAGGGUACAAGCGUUACUCGGAAUCACUGGGCGUAAAGGACGCGUAGGCGGGUUGGAAAGUCAGGUGUGAAAUCCUACAGCUUAACUGUAGAACUGCACUUGAAACUUCUAAUCUAGAGUAUGGGAGGGGGAGAUGGAAUUAGUGGUGUAGGGGUAAAAUCCGUAGAUAUCACUAGGAAUACCUAAAGCGAAGGCGAUCUCCUGGAACAUUACUGACGCUAAGGCGUGAAAGCGUGGGGAGCAAACAGGAUUAGAUACCCGAGUAGUC
rnacentral:rRNA from 1 species